CAACCUCUACGGGAAGACCAGAGUUUUAAAUUACGCCAUAAAAACAUACGAAGACCACGCUUUGUCUAAUAGGCAACAGCAGAUUAUAUGUUGCAGUGAAAUUCAUUGCUGCAUCCUUCUCCGUCACUUAAAACGCAUCGGGCAGUUUUCAAUAAGAAUUCAGCUUUGCGGGCUACAAUGGAUGCGUGAAAAUUGACAGACAUAGCAGAUAACCAAUAGAGGGACAGACUGCGUCCAGAUUCAUGUUACUUCUAUCAAUCGGAACACGGGGUGGGAGGAACUGUUUUCCUCAGUUUCUGAUUGAAUCAGCCCAGUUCCAAUUAGUUGCGAAGAUAUGACACAAUAGAACGAGCGGAUAUGGAUGAAAACAAAACACUUCUAGAUUGGAACUAAGCUGGCGAUUCUCCUUUCGGCAAAAUAUGGAAUGAAAUGGAAGCCAUCACACGGUUUAUUGAGUGUGGAUACCUCUGUCUACUUCAGCGAAAUAGGGGGAGAGCCAAAGGAUUCAUCUGCACCAAGGCCGGGUCCUUCCGCUAGGCCCAUAGCCAACCCGUUCCCCGACACCAGCUGCUCCAAAAGCAGGGGAUGAGACCAAAGACACUAUCAACACUGUCUAGAGGCUCAGGUAAAUUGAAACAAGUAAAACCCCACACCUUUGAUUCAAUGAGUUGCCUGAUGGGCGCUUUUUGUGAUUUCAAAGGGCCAGUUCUCAGCCCAUGUCACAGGUGGGCCAUAUGCGUUAAGGCCUGUGGUUCCGAACCGAUGAAAGGCCCAGCGGAGCAUUCUUUCUGGGCCUGCAUUUCAUUUCAAUUUCCAUAUGAAUGUUCUGGGCCACUUAGCUAUCCCCAGUUCCCCCUCCCAGACCUGGCGAUAAUAUUGUCAAUGUCAUUACGGUGGGAAGAGCAGAACAAAGGCCCUUCUUAUUUAAGUGAAGAGGGAGCUUGAAGGUCAAACAGGAAGAUCAAACGGAGAUGAGAAACAGAGUGCAUGCAGCACGGGGAGUGUUCUUCAAUUCAAAACAUGAAGCCUUUUUUUCCAGCAGAUCAAAAGACUUUGAAAUGUUUACAUUCAUCAUGGACACGGACGAAAGCAUGUGGACAAUGGACACCUGGCCAUGUUUUGUAUGAUGGUGCAGUGCAGGGUAUGCCUGGCCUUUUCUUUUCUUUUUUGCCUGGUUCUCCUAACUGUUUACUUACUUAUUUACUGGCAGCAGUAUGAAAGUAUGGUUUAAGAUAAAUGGACAAUUUAGUAUUGUUACACAAGAUUUUGUCACAGAGUCACUUUGCUCUGAACUGAUAAUUGCUCUGUUGUGGCUUUAUUUUAGGGCAUGAAUCUCAGAGGCAUAAGUAACAAGGCUUGACAUAAUCAUAAUCCCUUUGGGCUGAGAUCUUUCUCUGCCUGUAAUUGACACUGGUGAUGGGGCUGCAUAGCUUCGUCUGGAAGGUGAAACUUGACUUGAGAUCUGAUCUGUGAAAGCUCUGAGGACUUACCAAUAUUAGCAUGUAACAGUGCACUCUGUCUGAGUCAGGAGUCUGAUUCAAGAUUGAUGACUGAUUGAUGGUUACAGAUUGGACACAAGGAACGAAACAUUUUGAGAGGUGCAGGAGUGUAUGUAGCUAUACAGAGCACCACCAUCAAUGAGGUGAGCUUAUAUUCUAACAGAAUCAUACAUUUGGACACCAACUCAGCACUUAUGACACUCUGCAACCACACUAAUAAUUAAGACAUGUACUGUAAGCCACAAUAAUUCAAGUGUUACUGUUUAACAACCAAAUAAUUACCUCUGACUUUGUAUUGCGAAUGAAUGGUGUUCUUUAGACCAGCAUUGUUUCAGCAACUCAAAACAAAAGAUUUUAAUGAAUAUUCAUGAAAGAGAACAUUUUGUGUCUGCCCUGAUAGGGAAUACUUGUGUAUGUUUACCCAAGUUAUUUUUGUGCAUGUGUGUGUCACAUGGUACAUGUGAAUCAAGAAUUAAAACUUACGUUGUA